rnacentral:rRNA from 1 species
CCUACGGGUGGCAGCAGUCGAGAAUCAUUCACAAUGGGGGAAACCCUGAUGGUGCGACGCCGCGUGGGGGAAUGAAGGUCUUCGGAUUGUACACCCCUGUCAUGUGGGAGCAAAUUAAAAAGAUAGUACCACAAGACGAAGAUACGGCUAACUCUGUGCCAGCAGCCGCGCUAAUACAGAGGUCUCAAGCGUUGUUCGGAAUCACUGGGCGUAAAGCGUGCGUAGGCUGUUUCGUAAGUCGUGUGUGAAAGGCGCGGGCUCAACCCGCGGACGGCACAUGAUACUGCGAGACUAGAGUACUGGAGGGGGAGCCGGAAUUCUCGGUGUAGCAGUGAAAUGCGUAGAUAUCGAGAGGAACACUCGUGGCGAAGGCGGGUUCCUGGACAUUAACUGACGCUGAGGCACGAAGGCCAGGGGAGCGAAAGGGAUUAGAUACCCUUGUAGUC